AAGUCGAGCGAACGGACGAGAAGCUUGCUUCUCUGAUGUUAGCGGCGGACGGGUGAGUAACACGUGGAUAACCUACCUAUAAGACUGGGAUAACUUCGGGAAACCGGAGCUAACACCGGAUAAUAUUUUAAACCGCAUGGUUCAAAAGUGAAAGACGGUCUUGCUGUCACUUAUAGAUGGAUCCGCGCUGCAUUAGCUAGUUGGUAAGGUAACGGCUUACCAAGGCAACGAUGCAUAGCCGACCUGAGAGGGUGAUCGGCCACACUGGAACUGAGACACGGUCCAGACUCCUACGGGAGGCAGCAGUAGGGAAUCUUCCGCAAUGGGCGAAAGCCUGACGGAGCAACGCCGCGUGAGUGAUGAAGGUCUUCGGAUCGUAAAACUCUGUUAUUAGGGAAGAACAUAUGUGUAAGUAACUGUGCACAUCUUGACGGUACCUAAUCAGAAAGCCACGGCUAACUACGUGCCAGCAGCCGCGGUAAUACGUAGGUGGCAAGCGUUAUCCGGAAUUAUUGGGCGUAAAGCGCGCGUAGGCGGUUUUUUAAGUCUGAUGUGAAAGCCCACGGCUCAACCGUGGAGGGUCAUUGGAAACUGGAAAACUUGAGUGCAGAAGAGGAAAGUGGAAUUCCAUGUGUAGCGGUGAAAUGCGCAGAGAUAUGGAGGAACACCAGUGGCGAAGG
rnacentral:rRNA from 1 species